UACGUAGGGCGCAAGCGUUGUCCGGAUUCACUGGGUGUAACGGGUGCGCAGGCGGGAGUGCAAGUCAGAGGUGAAAUCUCACGGCUCAACCGUGAACCUGCCUUUGAUACUGCAUUUCUUGAGUUAGGGAGAGGUUGAUGGAAUUCCAGGUGUAGCGGUGAAAUGCGUAGAUAUCUGGAAGAACACCGGUGGCGAAGGCGGUCAACUGGCCCUCAACUGACGCUGAGGCACGAAAGCGUGGGGAUCAAACAGG
rnacentral:rRNA from 1 species